rnacentral:tRNA from 1 species
GGGUAUAGCUCAAGUGGUAGAGUGUGUGCUUAGCAUGCAUGAGGUCCUGGGUUCAAUCCCCAGUAUCUCCU